CUCCGGACCCGCCCCGGCCCCGCCGCUUCCUCCGCCCGCGGCUCCUCCCGGCCCGGGGGUCGCGGCCCCCGCAGCCCCUUGGACCUGCCCCGAGCCGCUGCUCCUCCCUUCGCUUCGCACCCCCGACACGGCUCCACCUCCCUCCCUCCCUCCGCAGCUGGAAGAAGUUGCGUUAUUAUUAUUAUUAUUAUUAUUAUUAUUAUUAUUAUUAUAGAACCUGUCUCCAGCCCAGCUUUCCCCAGAGGGACCCCGAGUUGUGUUUUCCUGCCCUGAUCCCGUCCCUCGCCCCCCUCUGGGGUCACCGCUGUCCUCUCCCUCCUCGCCCCCCUCUCACUCCCCCCGGGGCACCGGGAGAGCCCAGCCCGGCCCUGCAGCCCCGGCUCAGCAAAGCUCGGCAGACACGUGCAGCAGAAGGAAGAGGAGGGAACAGAAGGCCCCGCGCCGAGAUCUGACAGCUCUGGCAAGCCCAAACCUCGCAUUUAGCAUCGAUUUGGGCUCCAGCACCAUUUGAGGCUUGGCAGAGCUGCCAUUCUCCUCCCCCACGUUUGGAGAGAGGAGAAAAAGCCCCACAUGGCAUUUGGGACACUCUUUCCUCGGCAGAUUCACUGCUGCGUUCUCAAGGAGAAAAUUCAUCUGUUCUGGUGUUAAAAGACAAGAAAAACAGCUUCUUCCUGAAACAGCUGCCCCUCUCAGCUACGCUUCCUGCCAGUUUUCCUUCAAAAUCUCUUUGGAAUCAAAACCAUGACCAUAAAGCUUCGUAAGAGCCCCAGGGAUUUCAUUAGUAAGUUCCAUUAAUAUUCAAUUUCCAUUAAAAAACCCACUUAUCCCAAGGAAGAAAUGAAAAAAGAGCCCCAAACCCCCAAAACUGGUGGAGCAGAGCUCACUUCAGCUGCUCCAGAUUUACCUUGCGUCUCUCCUCUGCUGCUUCCAACUUCUUCUGGAUCUCUUCCAACGACACAUCCUUCUUCUUUGGGGGAGACAGAGGGAAUUCUGGCACAGCUUCUUUCGAGCGGGGGCUGAGGAUCAGCUCAAAGGCCUGCCCAGAGGCUCGCUUCUCCAGCUCCUUCACCUGGAUGUCUGGGAAUGGAGGGGAAAAGAGGCAGGAAAAAGAGAAUUUGAUGCAGGAAUUGGCUCAGGUGGCAUUAAAAACAACCUUCCGAAAUUCAGAAGUUCCCUGAGGAAGGGAAUCCAAGACAGGAGUUGCACCUGAUGUUUAAAUUUAGCCUUCAACAUCCCAAAUGGUGAAAACAAGUUCACUAGUUCAAAUCAAAAAUCAUUCUGUCUUCAGUGACAAACCUGAGGGUGAAUUUCCAGGCAUUUACCUGGAACCUGAGAAAGCAAAGAACUAAAAAAAAACAGUUUUUUAGAGAAAUUUGCAGGCAGGGCUCUGUCUCCCAGCCCUGCACGGUGUCAGCGUGGUCCCUGAGAUGUCUCGGUGACAGCCAGCUCUGCUGAGAGAGCAGAUGGCUGCAGGGAGCUGAAGCCCAUCUGCUGCCAGACUCCUCUUUUGGGGUGUUUUCACAACCACCCAGCUUCAACAGCCUCACCCAAGAUGGGAGAAAAGCUUGGUGACAGCAUCUUAUUUCACUAGAUUCAGUUUUUAAGUUAUUCCUGAGGAAAUCAGGAGGCAGAAAAAAAUUUAAAAAAAAAAAAA